AUGAAAGGUAUCAAGAGGUUUCAGACUCGUGGAAAAUUGGCAUCCAGAUUUAUUGGUCCAUUUCCCGUUAUGACACGAGUGGGUGAUGUCGCAUAUCAGUUGGAGUUACCCCCUGAGUUGUCAGACGUGCACAACGUGUUCCAUGUUUCACAAUUGCGACGGUGCAUAUCACCGCCCAAGAAAAAGACUGAUUUGAUAGAGAUAGAGCUGGCAAAGGACUUAAACUAUGAAGAGAGGCCGGUGAAAAUUUUGGAUCAAAUGGAAAGAGUCACUCGCAGUAAAGCACAAAAGUUUUACAAAGUCCAAUGGAAGCAUCAUACCGCGUCAAAAUCAACCUGGGAAUCAGAAGAUUUUCUAAGGGCAUGUUAUCUAGAAUGGUUUUCCCAAGCAACCAAAUCUCGAGGACGAGAUUCAUUCUAA
rnacentral:rRNA from 1 species